rnacentral:sRNA from 1 species
AUACAAUAUUCGAAAAAG